rfam:Tomato bushy stunt virus defective interfering particle RNA.
GGUUUGUGAGAAGGUUGGGGUAGCCCACCGACUGUCAUACAGCGGUGCGAAACUCCGUACUUACACACGAGCC